AAAAAAAGAGUUCAAAAAUAUUUGCAUGAGAAAUGUUAAAAGUUGGAACUUAAAACUAAAAGUAGAACAAGGUAAGGGACAAGGCCACGAGGAACAGCCCGGCGCUAGAAGCAAUAAGACACACCACUCGGCUUCCUACGAACUUCUUCCUCAAGUUUUCUGUGAUGUGCAAGUUGUCCACCAAUGCCUCUCAUGGCUUCAGCUCGCACCAGGGACAAUUUCUUUUACUCUUUAUUCUCUCUCUCUAGGGGAUUGAUGUGCUGUGGGGGAGGACAGCCCAUUUAGAGCCACUUCAUGCAGCAAAGCUGGCCCUGGAAGUCAAUGGAAUCGGAUCCCUUCACAACAGCGUGCAAGGAUGGUUUUAAACGUGGUAUUGUCAACCUCUGACUCCUUGAUGUCCCGUCUGCUCACUAAAGCUUGAUGGACCCUGUCUCUGGCCUCCAUCCCGAUCCGCAUCAUUUCCUAAAGAAGCCCAGACAAUCACUCAUUGUUACCAUGACCCUUACUAAGGGACACCACCAUCUGACUCUGGGGAAGGGCAGAAGGACAAAGGACAAAGGCCUGGCUCUAUCUUACUCAGGUGGAUUAGACAAUCCAGUCUUUCAUCCCAUGGGUGUGUGUGUGUAUAAAUGAUUUCUGAAUUUGGUUGUCACAGCAGGCUGAUGUCACCUUUCUGAAUCCUAUGAUAGAUUAAACUCUUAAUGAGUCAACAAUUCACUAAGAACCCCCCCCCCAAAAGAGACCAGAAUAGUGACCUGAAACAA